rnacentral:rRNA from 1 species
GUGGGGAAUAUUGGGCAAUGGGGGAAACCCUGACCCAGCGACGCCGCGUGAGGGAAGACGGCCUUCGGGUUGUAAACCUCUUUUGUACGGGAAGAAGGAAGUGACGGUACUGUACGAAUAAGUCCCGGCUAACUACGUGCCAGCAGCCGCGGUAAUACGUAGGGGACGAGCGUUGUCCGGAAUUACUGGGCGUAAAGGGCGCGCAGGCUGUGCUGCAAGUCAGCUGUGAAAUGUCUGGGCUUAACCCGGCCAUGCGGUUGAGACUGCAUUGCUGUCGUGCUGUAGAGGAAAGUGGAAUUCCCAGUGUAGCGGUGAAAUGCGUAGAUAUUGGGAAGAGCACCGGUGGCGAAGGCGACUUGCUGGGCAGCAACUGACGCUGAGGCGCGAAAGCCAGGGGAGCAAACGGGAUUAGAAACCCGGGUAGUCC